CUCUCUCUGUCCCAAAAAUAAAUAAUAAUUAAAAAAAAACUCCUCUUUCUUGGUCCCACUCAGCCAUGCCCUAGGUGCCCACAGAUCUCACCCCCCAAAAACCUGUGGGCAAGUUGCUUAUGUCUCCAGGCCUUUAUGACCUCAUUUGUGACAGAGUGAUGCAUGAUCAUCAGAAUUAUGUGAUGAGUAAGCCAUAUACAGCACCUGCCACACUCAGGGCAUAGACGUCUCAAUCAUUACUGGUUCCUUUGUCCUCCCCCACUCAGAUCACAGCCCUAAAGUUCAGUUUAUCUGGGGCGAGGAGUCGGGGCCCCAGAGAAGUUGAGGGACUCACCACGGCUCCACCAGUAAAAACCGUGCCUAAACACCGGCUCCUAGGCAUUUGAAGACUAACCGCGGAUCAUGAUUUCACAAAAAUUAGCCAGACCAAUAGGCAGCGGGAAUUGAAGGUAGUAAGCUACAGGCAUGGGGGCUGUCGGGAAAGAAAUGCUCAAGGUGAUCAAGGUAUUUCUUCCUGAAACACACAUGUUGUGAAGCAGGCCGUUGAAGGGUGUAACAAACACGGGAAAGAACUUGCCUGAAGACUCUGAAACAGAAAUAUGUCUCAAAGGCUACAGCACAGACCUUCAUUUGUAGCUAGUCAUCUCUGCCAAUAUCUAAUCUCCACUUCCUCAGAAAUAGAUUUCCUGAUAUUUUUCCAUGGGGCACAUGAACACCCACAAGAAAAACUACAUUUCCCAGGCUCCCUUGUAGGCAGUUAUGGCCAAGUGACUAAGUUUUGGCCAAUGAGAGAUAAGACGGAAGUGCUGUGUACAACUUCCAGGAAGUGUCUGUCAGGGAAUGACCGUGCCUUUCUCUCUUCUCUUUCGGCCGUCUUUCAGACGUGAUGCUUGCUGGAUCCUGAGCAGACGUCCUGGACCAUGAGUGGCAUGAGCAACCAGUUUUGGACUGCCUAUCUGCAUGGUAUGUGCUGGAUAGCUAGUUUGUACAACCAUACCCUAAACACCCCUGCUAAUAACUACCUUGAGAAGGUAGGGAUCCCGUCCUCCCUUAUAUUCCCAUCAAGCAUAAUGUGCAGAAGAAUGUGUCGUUCAGCAUUCAAGGUCAGGAGCUCUGGAUAUGGCCAACCCACAGCGUCUCCCUUGUAACGAAGAAUGUCAAGUUGGCAUGCCUUGAUCUCCUUGGAACGUUGGCCGUGCACAGAGGGGAGGGCUAAGUUGCUAAGCUACAAAAGCUUGCUGCAUGUAGACCCCAGCAGUGGAUGCUUUAUCCAGGCAGCCACUCCUGGACUCCCCGCACAAAAGUUGCCCCAAUAAACCCGUAUCUUGA